rnacentral:misc_RNA from 1 species
GUUCGAUUAUGGCUCAGAUUGAACGCUGGCGGGAUGCUUUACACAUGCAAGUCGAACGGCAGCACGGACUUCGGUCUGGUGGCGAGUGGCGAACGGGUGAGUAAUGUAUCCGGAACGUGCCUAGUAGCGAGGGAUAACUACGCGAAAGCGUAGCUAAUACACCGCCGCCCUUCGGGGAAAGCGGGGGGACCUUCGGGCCUCACUAUUAGAGCGGCCGAUAUCGGAUUAGCUAGUUGGUGGGGUAACGGCUCGCAAGGCGACGAUCCGUAGCUGGUUUGAGAGGACGACCAGCCACACUGGGACUGAGACACGGCCCAGACUCCUACGGGAGGCAGCAGUGGGGAAUUUUGGACAAUGGGGAAACCUGAUCCAGCCAUCCGCGUGUGCACGAUGAAGGCCUUCGGGUUGUAAAGCACUUUUGGCAGGAAAGAAACGGCACGGGAUAAUACCCCGUGCAACUGACGGUACCUGCAGAAUAAGCACCGGCUAACUACGUGCCAGCAGCCGCGGUAAUACGUAGGUGCAAGCGUUAAUCGGAAUUACUGGGCGUAAAGCGUGCGCAGGCGGUUCGGAAAGAAAAGAUGUGAAAUCCCAGAGCUUAACUUUGGAACUGCAUUUUUAACUACCGAGCUAGAGUGUGUCAGAGGAGGUGGAAUUCCGCGUGUAGCAGUGAAAUGCGUAGAUAUGCAAGAGGAACACCGAUGGCGAAGGCAGCCUCCUGGGAUAACACUGACGCUCAUGCACCCGAAAAGCGUGGGGAGCAAACAGGAUUAGAUACCCUGGUAGUCCACGCCCUAAACGUCAACUAGCUGUUGGGGCCUUCGGGCCUUGGUAAAGCGCAGCUAACGCGUGAAGUUGACCGCCUGGGAAAUACGGUCGCAAGAUUAAAACUCAAAGGAAUUGACGGGGACCCGCACAAGCGGUGGAUGAUGUGGAUUAAUUCGAUGCAACGCGAAAAACCGCCUACCCUUGACAUGGAAUCCCGAAGAGAUUUGGGAGUGCUCGCAAGAGAACCGGAACACAGGUGCUGCAUGGCUGUCGUCAGCUCGUGUCGUGAGAUGUUGGGUUAAGUCCCGCAACGAGCGCAACCCUUGUCAUUAGUUGCUACGAAAGGGCACUCUAAUGAGACUGCAUAGGUGACAAACCGGAGGAAGGUGGGGAUGACGUCAAGUCCUCAUGGCCCUUAUGGGUAGGGCUUCACACGUCAUACAAUGGUCGGGACAGAGGUCGCCAACCCGCGAGGGGAGCCAAUCGAAGCGAUCGUAGUCCGGAUCGCAGUCUGCAACUCGACUGCGUGAAGUCGGAAUCGCUAGUAAUCGCGGAUCAGCAUGUCGCGGUGAAUACGUUCCCGGGUCUUGUACACACCGCCCGUCACACCAUGGGAGUGGGUUUUACCAGAAGUAGUUAGCCUAACCGUAAGGAGGGCGAUUACCACGGUAGGAUUCAUGACUGGGGUGAAGGGCGGUGUGUACAAGACCGGAACGUAUUCACCGCGACAUGCUGAUCCGCGUUCUGCUGAUUCCGGCAGACUGCGAUCAGACUACGAUCGGGUUUCUGGGAUUACCUUAUUUGACCGUGUAUGACGUGUAGCCUACCCGCUAGGGCCAUGGGGCACUUCUCCGGUUUAUUUUUUCGGCUGGGUCAUUAGGGUGCGCUCGUAGCAAUAAUGACAAGGAGUUGCGCUCGUUAUAACCCAACAUCUCACGACACAGGCAUGACGUAGCCGGGAAUUCUGCGAACUCCCUCUCUUCGGAUUCCAGGCAUGUCAAAGGGUAGAUAAGGUUUUUUCGCGUUGCAUCGAAUUAAUCAUCCACCGCCUGUGCGUGAUUGAUCGACUCCCGCAGAUUUUAUCACCCCGUUAUACUCCCAGGCGAUUCGCGCGUUAGCUGCGCUGGAACUAUGUAGUUGACAUCAGGCGUGGACUACCAGGGUAUCUAACUCUGUUUGCUUCCCCGCGCUUUUUUCGUGAAACGUCAGUGUUUGCCUUCGCCAUCGUGUUCCUCCGCAUAUCU